UUGUGCUCAAUUUUUAAGCGCGGGAUAUGCCUUUUAAGCAGGGUGUCCGGGGUUCGAAUCCCCGACGGGGCACCA
rnacentral:tRNA from 1 species